rnacentral:rRNA from 1 species
AACGGACGCUGGCGGCAUGCCUAACACAUGCAAGUCGAACGAGACCUUCGGGUCUAGUGGCGCACGGGUGCGUAACGCGUGGGAACCUGCCCUUAGGUUCGGAAUAACUCCCCGAAAGGGGUGCUAAUACCGGAUAAUGUCUUCGGACCAAAGAUUUAUCGCCUUUGGAUGGGCCCGCGUUGGAUUAGCUAGUUGGUAGGGUAAAAGCCUACCAAGGCGACGAUCCAUAGCUGGUCUGAGAGGAUGAUCAGCCACACUGGGACUGAGACACGGCCCAGACUCCUCCGGGAGGAAGCAGUGGGGAAUAUUGGACAAUGGGCGAAAGCCUGAUCCAGCAAUGCCGCGUGAGUGAUGAAGGCCUUAGGGUUGUAAAGCUCUUUUACCCGGGAUGAUAAUGACAGUACCGGGAGAAUAAGCUCCGGCUAACUACGUG